GACAGAUUGAGAGCUCUUUCUUGAUUCGGUGGGUGGUGGUGCAUGGCCGUUCUUAGUUGGUGGAGCGAUUUGUCUGGUUAAUUCCGAUAACGAACGAGACUCUAGCCUGCUAAAUAGGUGACGGGUUUUAUCAAUUGAAACCGAAGGGAGUACGGAGGCGUCGGGAUCAGGUGGCGGCGGUUUUCGGGUUUCGAUGGGCCCAGUCUCUUUAGUGAUGCGUGCUGUUGGCUGUUUGUUGGCUUUCGUUUUUUCUGCGGGAUUCGGAGUUCGCUUCGGGUUUCGUGGUUGGGCGGAGGUUGGCGGCGGUCGGCUGUGCGUUUCGCGGGGGCUGGAUCUGUUGUUAUUCGGUCGUCGUCAUCCCCGGCGAUACCUUCUGCUCUCGCGUCCGUCACGCAGUCUUCUUAGAGGGACAAGCGGCGUCCAGCCGCGUGACAGUGAGCAAUAACAGGUCUGUGAUGCCCUUAGAUGUCCUGGGCCGCACGCGCGCUACACUGAAGGAAUCAGCGUGUUUCACUCUCCCUGUCCGAAAGGACCGGGUAACCGCUGAACCUCCUUCGUGG
rnacentral:rRNA from 1 species